rnacentral:rRNA from 1 species
AGUGAACGCUGGCGGUAGGCCUAACACAUGCAAGUCGAACGGCAGCACAGUAAGAGCUUGCUCUUACGGGUGGCGAGUGGCGGACGGGUGAGGAGUACAUCGGAAUCUACUUUUUCGUGGGGGAUAACGUAGGGAAACUUACGCUAAUACCGCAUACGACCUACGGGUGAAAGCAGGGGAUCUUCGGACCUUGCGCGAUUGAAUGAGCCGAUGUCGGAUUAGCUAGUUGGCGGGGUAAAGGCCCACCAAGGCGACGAUCCGUAGCUGGUCUGAGAGGAUGAUCAGCCACACUGGAACUGAGACACGGUCCAGACUCCUACGGGAGGCAGCAGUGGGGAAUAUUGGACAAUGGGCGCAAGCCUGAUCCAGCCAUACCGCGUGGGUGAAGAAGGCCUUCGGGUUGUAAAGCCCUUUUGUCGGGAAAGAAAAGCAGCAGGUUAAUACCCCGCUGUUCUGACGGUACCCAAAGAAUAAGCACCGGCUAACUUCGUG